CCAAUAGCGUAUAUUAAAGUUGUUGCAGUUAAAAAGCUCGUAGUUGAAUUUCGGGAUCAAUAUGUCGGUCGUGCCAUCGGUACGUACUGGUAUCAUUGGUCUCUCCUUUCUGACGAACCAUGAUGUCAUUAAUUUGGUGUUAUGGGAAGUUAGGACUGUUACUUUGAAAAAAUUAGAGUGUUUAAAGCAGGCUUUGGCUU
rnacentral:rRNA from 1 species